UACGAACUGCGCGAACGUUAUUCGGAAUCACUGGGCUUACAGGGUGCGUAGGUGGCAGAGAAAGUAGGGUGUGAAAUGCCUUGGCUCAACCAAGGCACAGCGCUCUAAACUCCUUUGCUUGAGUGAGUCAGGGGUGCACGGAACUUCCGGUGGAGCGGUGAAAUGUGUUGAUAUCGGAAGGAACACCGGCGGCGAAAGCGGUGCACUGGGGCUUAACUGACACUGAGGCACGAAAGCCAGGGGAGCGAACGGG
rnacentral:rRNA from 2 species